UUUUUUGAUAUUUUUGCUUUAAUGCAAUGCUUUGGUUUUAGUUGGGAUGGUUAUUAUUUGGAGCAUUGAUGGCUACACUAUUAAGAACAUCAUUCAAGGUUUGAGACUUCUUGCUUUGAAACAUUGGAGCUGUAAGAAAUUGGAGCAAAGGACAAUGUUAAGUUCUGAAGAUAUAAAGUGAGCAUUAUUUAGAAGUGCGGGUUAUGAAGGAAAGAUAUUAUCAAAGAGCUGAAUAUGAAAAGUUUUGUUCCAAGUUCAAGUUACCAAAUGUGAAGUGUUCAAGUUAGAGACAAGAAGUAAAAAGUGGGUGAAGCUUGAUCACUUGGGUGACAAAUUGAUAUUUCUUGGAUAUAAUAAGUCCUAUGUAAUAUCAAGAACAUUACUUAAUUGCAGUGAAGAGUUAAUUGUAGAGAAUAGUGUCUAUUUUGCUCUUUACUUUCCAUGUCCAGAACUUUGUUUGACUGAUAACAAGAUCAACAACAACAAGAUCAAACAACAACAACAACAAGAUCAACAAGAUUAACAACAACAAGAUCAAUAACAACAACAAGAUCAACAAGAUUAACAACAACAAGAUCAACAAGAUUAACAACAAGAUCAAGUGAUUGAGAAAAUCCAAUCACGUUAGGAUCGAGAUUCUGAUCCACUAUAUUGUCAUGAUAUCAAAUUGAAUUAUCAAGCUGAAGUCAAUUGACAUUUACCCUCCAGCUUGAUGGGCUAUUGGAAAACAAAGCUAC
rnacentral:lncRNA from 1 species